rnacentral:rRNA from 1 species
GACGAACGCUGGCGGCGUGCCUAAUACAUGCAAGUCGAACGCUUCUUUCCUCCCGAGUGCUUGCACUCAAUUGGAAAGAGGAGUGGCGGACGGGUGAGUAACACGUGGGUAACCUACCCAUCAGAGGGGGAUAACACUUGGAAACAGGUGCUAAUACCGCAUAACAGUUUAUGCCGCAUGGCAUAAGAGUGAAAGGCGCUUUCGGGUGUCGCUGAUGGAUGGACCCGCGGUGCAUUAGCUAGUUGGUGAGGUAACGGCGCACCAAGGCCACGAUGCAUAGCCGACCUGAGAGGGUGAGCGGCCACACUGGGACUGAGACACGUCCCAGACUCCUACGGGAGGUAGCAGUAGGGAAUCCUCUGCAAUGGACGGAAGUCUGACCGAGCAACGCCGCGUGAGUGAAGAAGGUUUUCGGAUCGUAAAACUCUGUUGUUAGAGAAGAACAAGGACGUUAGUAACUGAACGUCCCCUGACGGUAUCUAACCAGAAAGCCACGGCUAACUACGUGCCAGCCGCCGCAGUAA